rnacentral:sRNA from 1 species
UGAAUCUCAAGAGGCAGAUUAGAAAAGAAGUCCAAGAAGAAUAUGAAGCAUUAGUCCGAGCUUUGUUUGAGACCUGUUUACACAUAAAAGAGAAGCUGGAUGAGAAUCAGCUUAAUUUGAUCCAGAAAGUGUGUGAGCUCAUCGGUGAAGUGAGAACAGAAGGGAUUGACAAUAUGAAAGACCUAAAGAAAAAAUGGGGCUCUGCCAGCCCCAAUGAAGGAAUGAAAGAAAACCCAGCCAAAGAAUCUAUUCAAAGUAAAAAAGAGUAUUUGCGCAUCAAGCUGAUGGCAGAGCGAGAAGUGGGUUUAUUUCAUCAGCAGGUCCUGGCUCUCAGGCAGGCCCUGGCCAGGGCACAGGCCGACAGCGCGAGGAUGUGGAAGCAGCAGGACAGCCAGGUAUCUGAGCCUCAGAGCCUCUUCCUCGUUCCCUUUGCAGUUAACUCUGCAAAGCUGAACGUGGCCACCACACUUGGUGCUGUGGCUGCCAGGAGCAGUCACCAGAGCACCACAGCCUGAAGCCACACAGAUGGCACAGCCUGGAAAAGAUAGCCUGGACUUGGGCUUCCCUUCUCCUCUCUCCUCUCCAGCCCGGAAACCAAGGGCGGUGGCCAAAAGGCUAUUGUUCUUACUCAUAUGUGGCUGAGAAAAUAUUACUCAUAAGCAAGAUCAUUAUCACAUAUGUGUGUGUGCGUGUGUGUCCAUUUCUCUGAGGAUCCUUUUGCUAGAGGCUGUCCUGGGAUCCUGUGAUCUAGGCCUCUGCCUUGAACACGGGCUUUCAUGGGGCAAGCAUGCUUGCAGUUGACAACAAUCCUUGGCAAGUAGUGUGGUCCAGCCUUGCGGUAUUAUCCCCCACGCGAGACUCUGUCCUUUCCCAAUGAUCCAUACUGUGUCUCACUUUCAGAAGUUACUGCUGUGCGAUAGG